rnacentral:tRNA from 1 species
GAGGGAUUCGAACCCUCGGUAAUCAAAAGCCUACAUAGCAUUUCCA